UUUAAAAUGGUCAGCUUACAUAUAUUAUGUGACACCAACAUUUAAAAUCCAGUUUCAUGAAAAAUGACCCACUGUACAUCCAUGUUUUCAGUUUACUUGAACUUAGUAAGUGGAGCUGCAAAAUAAUAACUCCUUAAAUACUGUUCUUUAUGCACAGGGUUUUAUAGAUAUUCCUUCCUAUGGUGAUCAGUUGAGUGAUGAACGAUUAGGACCCAGUGAAAGAUUAUCUCCAGCUCCUUUCCUGAAUUCAAAUCUGAUAGGAAAAGCCUCUGAGAGGAGUCAGUUUCCAAUGUUUGGUCGAGAUGCCGGGCUCUCAGGCUGUCAGACAAGUCUGCUUCGGCCUAACGUGGGUGUUGGAAGCCCAGGCCCCCUGGCUUUCUCAGAAAAAACUGGAACACCGUAUUAUGCAUUUUCCUCUGCAAAUCCACGAAGACGGCCCCUUCGUGAUUCAUCUGCCCUUGGUGAGUCAGUCGUGUUGUGCCCCUUUCCCCCCAAGGAACACAUUGGAUUAUUGGCUUCCUUUCUUGGAUAAGAUGCAUUUCACAAAAUCCUUGACUUAGAAAUGGGAGCAAGGGAGAGAAAGAGGCUGCAGAAGGGAACUG
rnacentral:lncRNA from 1 species